GGGCUGCUCGUCCAACGGGAAGAUGCCUGGUUUGCACCCAGGAGAUCGGGGUUCGAUUCCCCGGCAGGUCCA
rnacentral:tRNA from 1 species